CUUUUUGACAGGAAAGCAUUCAUUCCAUCUCCAAACGCCAAUUAAGUAGAAUCAAUAUUUGAUGUUUCCGUAGGAAUGUUUCUCAAGGUUUUAUCAUUUUCAAUUAGAUUUCAAAAUUAUAUCUGUCAAACUUUCAUUAUUGGCAUAUAUGAAUGAUGAAUGCAGGAUAAGAACCGCAUGGGCAAAGGGAGAAACAACUGAUGGGAUACAAAGUGUUUACUUAAUUUCUUUGACUAUGAGCCAGGGAGCCAAACGUAUGUGAUUUGGGCUUUAAUGGCUGGAACGAUGAUUAGGAUUGCAUCAAUUGUCUACAGCAGGCACUGCAUAUUCAGAGCAGAGGUAACGGACUGGUUUAGGUCGUGGUUCAAAAAUUGAAUCGUUAAGUCACCUACAUGAAUACCAUAGUGUAAUAAUCUUUGAGUUGCUUGGAUUGCGG
rnacentral:misc_RNA from 1 species